CUCGUAGUGACCUGCGGAGGGAUCAUUACACAAAUAUGAAGGCGGGCUGGAACCUCUCGGGGUUACAGCCUUGCUGAAUUAUUCACCCUUGUCUUUUGCGUACUUCUUGUUUCCUUGGUGGGUUCGCCCACCACUAGGACAAACAUAAACCUUUUGUAAUUGCAAUCAGCGUCAGUAACAAAUUAAUAAUUACAACUUUCAACAACGGAUCUCUUGGUUCUGGCAUCGAUGAAGAACGCAGCGAAAUGCGAUAAGUAGUGUGAAUUGCAGAAUUCAGUGAAUCAUCGAAUCUUUGAACGCACAUUGCGCCCUUUGGUAUUCCAAAGGGCAUGCCUGUUCGAGCGUCAUUUGUACCCUCAAGCUUUGCUUGGUGUUGGGCGUCUUGUCUCUAGCUUUGCUGGAGACUCGCCUUAAAGUAAUUGGCAGCCGGCCUACUGGUUUCGGAGCGCAGCACAAGUCGCACUCUCUAUCAGCAAAGGUCUAGCAUCCAUUAAGCCUUUUUUUCAACUUUUGACCUCGGAUCAGGUAGGGAUACCCGCUGAACUUAAGCAUAUC
rnacentral:misc_RNA from 1 species